GAGGUACAGUGCCAGAAAGAAUAAGUAAGGGACCAGACAGACCUCAAGGUCAUGCCUCCAUGACCACCCAGAUAAACACAGAAGUAUGCUUCAUCAGUCUCCUGAGCGAAUCCCAAAGCCAAUCAAAUUGUCACUGCACCUUAACAGUCACAAGAAGGAAGGAACAAAAAAUAGAAAUCAACAAAAGGGAAAAGAAGGUGAUUGAAAGAUCAUGAGAGAAGUAUAGUAGAGAAGCAAACAGCAAGGGAAAUAGAUGGAAUCAAACAUUCCUUAUAUGUAGAUUAGCCAUCAUUCAGACAUCAAAAUCAAUUUAACCCUCCACAAGAU
rnacentral:lncRNA from 1 species